AUGUGUGAGCGAGCAGUACACCAUUUGUGCUGGUCAUACUCUUCUCAAAAGAUGGAGAGUAUCAAGCGCAAGUUUCACAAGGUCCAUGGCAUGCCAAACUGCUGUGGUGUUGUACAUACAACUCGCAUCAAAUUUGGAUCACAAAACCAUGACAAUGAGGAGAAUGAAGGCAUGCUCAUCCAAGCCGUCCUUGAUCCUGAUAUGAGGUUCAGAGACAUUUGCAUGUGGCCGUCACAAUGCCAUUUGUCAAGCAUGGCGGCUUUGCGCAACUCUGAUAUCUUCAAUCGGUGUGUAAAGGGUACUUGGCUGAAUGGUAGCAAGCUGAAGAUAUCAUCAGGUGGUGGAUCGGCAGUCAGGGAAUACAUAAUUGGUAGUGCAGCAUACCCUCUUCGACCUUGGCUCCUCACACCUUACUAG
rnacentral:rRNA from 1 species